AUCAGUCAGGAGAUCAAACUGACUUAAUGAGACCAUCUAGGGCUUUGAAGCAGCAGUUACUGAUUGACUCUGAUGCACACUGCUCCAGGUCGAAAGAGGUUAAGGAGUUCUCUUUUUGUAUCAAACUGACAACAGCAGAAAUGAUGUAAGGAAAGCUCCUAUGGUCUGAUCAUUGAGAACCCCACAUAUGGCGCCAGGUUGGGCAAUGUUUUCACUUCUGUUGCUGCUUUCCCACACUGAAACCUUGGACAAGAAAACUGACAAAAUAAGGCAUGGCCAAAUGCUUCAAAGCUACGAAGUUCUUUUCCCCUCUGAAGUGCCCAUGACCAGAGUCACCACUCAGAACACAGUGUUCUCCCAACUUCCCUCAGACCUAAGGACAAGAUUCCAAGGAAAGCCACCACACAUGGCUCUGAGACUACAAAGUCCUUCCUUACCAAACCCCCAGCUCUCCAACUUCUGUCACAAAGCCCAUCAGCCCUAAAGCUCAGAAGGGCUCAUCGGAUCAUUGAGUGUCUGUCUCUGUGAGAGGCAGGGGAGGGCUGUACCCUUAAACCAUCUUAUUCAAGGGUCUGUCUCAUAUUCAAAUAACUGGAGAAGGAGAAAUGAUUCAUCCCCUGGCACAUUUUCAGAGAGGAUUCCAUAAACAUUUCAUUGUUAUAAUUUAGCUGGGUUU
rnacentral:lncRNA from 1 species